AAGAUUGUUAUCAAUAUUCCAAAGACAGUAACGGCAAUCGCUUAAUCAUGUUACCGAGGGGUCAUACAUAAAAAUGAUGUAUCAGCCUGCCUCGUUGCAGGCUUUUCUUUUGAAUAU
rfam:Firmicutes bacterium M10-2 genomic scaffold acPFH-supercont1.10, whole genome shotgun sequence.